rnacentral:rRNA from 1 species
AGUGAACGCUGGCGGUAGGCCUAACACAUGCAAGUCGAACGGCAGCACAGUAAGAGCUUGCUCUUACGGGUGGCGAGUGGCGGAUGGGUGAGGAAUACAUCGGAAUCUACUUUUUCGUGGGGGAUAACGUAGGGAAACUUACGCUAAUACCGCAUACGACCUACGGGUGAAAGCAGGGGAUCUUCGGACCUUGCGCGAUUGAAUGAGCCGAUGUCGGAUUAGCUAGUUGGCGGGGUAAAGGCCCACCAAGGCGACGAUCCGUAGCUGGUCUGAGAGGAUGAUCAGCCACACUGGAACUGAGACACGGUACAGACUCCUACGGGAGGCAGCAGUGGGGAAUAUUGGACAAUGGGCGCAAGCCUGAUCCAGCCAUACCGCGUGGGUGAAGAAGGCCUUCGGGUUGUAAAGCCCUUUUGUUGGGAAAGAAAAGCAGCAGGUUAAUACCCCGCUGUUCUGACGGUACCCAAAGAAUAAGCACCGGCUAACUUCGUG